UUUUUCUCAAAAACCGCAAACUUUUGAGUUUUUGAUAAAUACGUACAAGGUGCCCCUUUGCAAGGAGUACUUGACAGUUUUUAAAUGAAAGCUCUAUCUUUAUUACCAAAAAAGUUAUGCAAAAUUUUCGAUCUAAAAAAGUACAUGUUAAUGGUAAAAAACCGAAAUUUCGAUUUUUCUCAAAAACCGUAAACUUUUGAGUUUUUCAUAAUUACGUACAAGGUGCCCCUUUGCAAGGAGUACUUGACAGUUUUUAAAUGAAAGCUCUAUCUUUAUUAACAAAAAAGUUAUGCAAAAUUUUCGAUCUAAAAAAGUACAUGUUAAUGGUAAAAAACCAAAAUUUCGAUUUUUCUCAAAAACCGUAAACUUUUGAGUUUUUCAUAAUUACGUACAAGGUGCCCCUUUGCAAGGAGUACUUGACAGUUUUUAAAUAAAAGCUCUAUCUUUAUUAACAAAAAAGUUAUGCAAAAUUUUCGAUCUAAAAAAGUACAUGUUAAUGGUAAAAAACCGAAAUUUCGAUUUUUCUCAAAAACCGUAAACUUUUGAGUUUUUGAUAAUUACGUACAAGGUGCCCCUUUACUAGGAGUACUUGACAGUUUUUAAAUGAAAGCUCUAUCUUUAUUAACAAAAAAGUUAUGCAAAAUUUUCGAUCUAAAAAAGUACAUGUUAAUGGUAAAAAACCGAAAUUUCGAUUUUUCUCAAAAACCGUAAACUUUUGAGUUUUUCAUAAUUACGUACAAGGUGCCCCUUUACUAGGAGUACUUGACAGUUUUUAAAUGAAAGCUCUAUCUUUAUUAACAAAAAAGUUAUGCAAAAUUUUCGAUCUAAAAAAGUACAUGUUAAUGGUAAAAAACCGAAAUUUCGAUUUUUCUCAAAAACCGUAAACUUUUGAGUUUUUCAUAAUUACGUACAAGGUGCCCCUUUACUAGGAGUACUUGACAGUUUUUAAAUGAAAGCUCUAUCUUUAUUAACAAAAAAGUUAUGCAAAAUUUUCGAUCUAAAAAAGUACAUGUUAAUGGUAAAAAACCGAAAUUUCGAUUUUUCUCAAAAACCGUAAACUUUUGAGUUUUUCAUAAUUACGUACAAGGUGCCCCUUUGCAAGGAGUACUUGACAGUUUUUAAAUGAAAGCUCUAUCUUUAUUAACAAAAAAGUUAUGCAAAAUUUUCGAUCUAAAAAAGUACAUGUUAAUGGUAAAAAACCGAAAUUUCGAUUUUUCUCAAAAACCGUAAACUUUUGAGUUUUUGAUAAUUACGUACAAGGUGCCCCUUUACUAGGAGUACUUGACAGUUUUUAAAUGAAAGCUCUAUCUUUAUUAACAAAAAAGUUAUGCAAAAUUUUCGAUCUAAAAAAGUACAUGUUAAUGGUAAAAAACCGAAAUUUCGAUUUUUCUCAAAAACCGUAAACUUUUGAGUUUUUCAUAAUUACGUACAAGGUGCCCCUUUGCAAGGAGUACUUGACAGUUUUUAAAUGAAAGCUCUAUCUUUAUUAACAAAAAAGUUAUGCAAAAUUUUCGAUCUAAAAAAGUACAUGUUAAUGGUAAAAAACCGAAAUUUCGAUUUUUCUCAAAAACCGUAAACUUUUGAGUUUUUCAUAAUUACGUACAAGGUGCCCCUUUGCAAGGAGUACUUGACAGUUUUUAAAUGAAAGCUCUAUCUUUAUUAACAAAAAAGUUAUGCAAAAUUUUCGAUCUAAAAAAGUACAUGUUAAUGGUAAAAAACCGAAAUUUCGAUUUUUCUCAAAAACCGUAAACUUUUGAGUUUUUGAUAAUUACGUACAAGGUGCCCCUUUGCAAGGAGCACUUGACAGUUUUUAAAUGAAAGCUCUAUCUUUAUUAACAAAAAAGUUAUGCAAAAUUUUCGAUCUAAAAAAGUACAUGUUAAUGGUAAAAAACCGAAAUUUCGAUUUUUCUCAAAAACCGUAAACUUUUGAGUUUUUGAUAAUUACGUACAAGGUGCCCCUUUGCAAGGAGUACUUGACCGUUUUUAAAUGAAAGCUCUAUCUUUAUUAACAAAAAAGUUAUGCAAAAUUUUCGAUCUAAAAAAGUACAUGUUAAUGGUAAAAAACCGAAAUUUCGAUUUUUCUCAAAAACCGUAAACUUUUGAGUUUUUGAUAAUUACGUACAAGGUGCCCCUUUGCAAGGAGCACUUGACAGUUUUUAAAUGAAAGCUCUAUCUUUAUUAACAAAAAAGUUAUGCAAAAUUUUCGAUCUAAAAAAGUACAUGUUAAUGGUAAAAAACCGAAAUUUCGAUUUUUCUCAAAAAC